UGGGGAAUUUUGGACAAUGGGCGCAAGCCUGAUCCAGCAAUGCCGCGUGCAGGAUGAAGGCCUUCGGGUUGUAAACUGCUUUUGUACGGAGCGAAAAGGUCUGCCCUAAUACGGUGGGCUCAUGACGGUACCGUAAGAAUAAGCACCGGCUAACUACGUGCCAGCAGCCGCGGUAAUACGUAGGGUGCGAGCGUUAAUCGGAAUUACUGGGCGUAAAGCGUGCGCAGGCGGUUAUGUAAGACAGAGGUGAAAUCCCCGGGCUCAACCUGGGAACUGCCUUUGUGACUGCAUGGCUAGAGUGCGGCAGAGGGGGAUGGAAUUCCGCGUGUAGCAGUGAAAUGCGUAGAUAUGCGGAGGAACACCGAUGGCGGAGGCAAUCCCCUGGACCUGUACUGACGCUCAUGCACGAAAGCGUGGGGAGCAAACA
rnacentral:rRNA from 1 species